UACGAAGGGUGCAAGCGUUACUCGGAAUUACUGGGCGUAAAGCGUGCGUAGGUGGUUCGUUAAGUCUGAUGUGAAAGCCCUGGGCUCAACCUGGGAAUUGCAUUGGAUACUGGCGGGCUGGAGUACGGUAGAGGGUGGCGGAAUUCCUGGUGUAGCAGUGAAAUGCGUAGAUAUCAGGAGGAACAUCCGUGGCGAAGGCGGCCACCUGGACCAGUACUGACACUGAGGCACGAAAGCGUGGGGAGCAAACAGG
rnacentral:rRNA from 1 species